UACGUAGGGGGCAAGCGUUAUCCGGAUUUACUGGGUGUAAAGGGAGCGUAGACGGCAGGGCAAGUCUGGAGUGAAAGGCAGGGGCCCAACCCUUGGACUGCUCUGGAAACUGUCCGGCUGGAGUGCAGGAGAGGUAAGUGGAAUUCCUAGUGUAGCGGUGAAAUGCGUAGAUAUUAGGAGGAACACCAGUGGCGAAGGCGGCUUACUGGACUGUAACUGACGUUGAGGCUCGAAAGCGUGGGGAGCGAACAGG
rnacentral:rRNA from 1 species